rnacentral:misc_RNA from 1 species
AACGCACAUUGCGCCCUCUGGUAUUCCGGAGGGCAUGCCUGUUCGAGCGUCAUUUCAACCCUCAAGCAUUGCUUGGUGUUGGGGCACCGCCUGUAAAAGGGCGGGCCCUGAAAUCUAGUGGCGAGCUCGCCAGGACCCCGAGCGUAGUAAUUAUAUUUCGUUCUGGAAGGCCCUGGCGGUGCCCUGCCGUUAAACCCCCAACUUCUGAAAAUUUGACCUCGGAUCAGGUAGGAAUACCCGCUGAACUUAA